rnacentral:rRNA from 1 species
CGUAGGGUGCGAGCGUUAAUCGGAAUUACUGGGCGUAAAGCGUGCGCAGGCGGUUAUAUAAGACAGAUGUGAAAUCCCCGGGCUCAACCUGGGAACUGCAUUUGUGACUGUAUAGCUAGAGUACGGCAGAGGGGGAUGGAAUUCCGCGUGUAGCAGUGAAAUGCGUAGAUAUGCGGAGGAACACCGAUGGCGAAGGCAAUCCCCUGGGCCUGUACUGACGCUCAUGCACGAAAGCGUGGGGAGCAAACAGGAUUAGAUACCCUGGUAGUCCACGCCCUAAACGAUGUCAACUGGUUGUUGGGUCUUCACUGACUCAGUAACGAAGCUAACGCGUGAGGUUGACCGCCUGGGGAGUACGGCCGCAAGGUUG